rnacentral:rRNA from 1 species
UUAAGCGACUAAGCGUACACGGUGGAUGCCCUGGCAGUCAGAGGCGAUGAAGGACGUGCUAAUCUGCGAUAAGCGUCGGUAAGGUGAUAUGAACCGUUAUAACCGGCGAUUUCCGAAUGGGGAAACCCAGUGUGUUUCGACACACUAUCAUUAACUGAAUCCAUAGGUUAAUGAGGCGAACCGGGGGAACUGAAACAUCUAAGUACCCGAGGAAAGAAAUCAACCGAGAUUCCCCCAGUAGCGGCGAGCGAACGGGGAGCAGCCCAGAGCCUGAAUCAGUGUGUGUGUUAGUGGAAGCGUCUGGAAAGGCGCGCGAUACAGGGUGACAGCCCCGUACACAAAAAUGCACAUGCUGUGAGCUCGAUGAGUAGGGCGGGACACGUGGUAUCCUGUCUGAAUAUGGGGGGACCAUCCUCCAAGGCUAAAUACUCCUGACUGACCGAUAGUGAACCAGUACCGUGAGGGAGAGGCGAAAAGAACCCCGGCGAGGGGAGUGAAAAAGAACCUGAAACCGUGUACGUACAAGCAGUGGGAGCACGCUUAGGCGUGUGACUGCGUACCUUUUGUAUAAUGGGUCAGCGACUUAUAUUCUGUAGCAAGGUUAACCGAAUAGGGGAGCCGAAGGGAAACCGAGUCUUAACUGGGCGUUAAGUUGCAGGGUAUAGACCCGAAACCCGGUGAUCUAGCCAUGGGCAGGUUGAAGGUUGGGUAACACUAACUGGAGGACCGAACCGACUAAUGUUGAAAAAUUAGCGGAUGACUUGUGGCUGGGGGUGAAAGGCCAAUCAAACCGGGAGAUAGCUGGUUCUCCCCGAAAGCUAUUUAGGUAGCGCCUCGUGAAUUCAUCUCCGGGGGUAGAGCACUGUUUCGGCAAGGGGGUCAUCCCGACUUACCAACCCGAUGCAAACUGCGAAUACUGGAGAAUGUUAUCACGGGAGACACACGGCGGGUGCUAACGUCCGUCGUGAAGAGGGAAACAACCCAGACCGCCAGCUAAGGUCCCAAAGUCAUGGUUAAGUGGGAAACGAUGUGGGAAGGCCCAGACAGCCAGGAUGUUGGCUUAGAAGCAGCCAUCAUUUAAAGAAAGCGUAAUAGCUCACUGGUCGAGUCGGCCUGCGCGGAAGAUGUAACGGGGCUAAACCAUGCACCGAAGCUGCGGCAGCGACACUAUGUGUUGCUGGGUAGGGGAGCGUUCUGUAAGCCUGUGAAGGUGUGCUGUGAGGCAUGCUGGAGGUAUCAGAAGUGCGAAUGCUGACAUAAGUAACGAUAAAGCGGGUGAAAAGCCCGCUCGCCGGAAGACCAAGGGUUCCUGUCCAACGUUAAUCGGGGCAGGGUGAGUCGACCCCUAAGGCGAGGCCGAAAGGCGUAGUCGAUGGGAAACAGGUUAAUAUUCCUGUACUGGUGUUACUGCGAAGGGGGGACGGAGAAGGCUAUGUUGGCCGGGCGACGGUUGUCCCGGUUUAAGCGUGUAGGCUGGUUUUCCAGGCAAAUCCGGAAAAUCAAGGCUGAGGCGUGAUGACGAGGCACUACGGUGCUGAAGCAACAAAUGCCCUGCUUCCAGGAAAAGCCUCUAAGCAUCAGGUAACAUCAAAUCGUACCCCAAACCGACACAGGUGGUCAGGUAGAGAAUACCAAGGCGCUUGAGAGAACUCGGGUGAAGGAACUAGGCAAAAUGGUGCCGUAACUUCGGGAGAAGGCACGCUGAUAUGUAGGUGAAGUCCCUUGCGGAUGGAGCUGAAAUCAGUCGAAGAUACCAGCUGGCUGCAACUGUUUAUUAAAAACACAGCACUGUGCAAACACGAAAGUGGACGUAUACGGUGUGACGCCUGCCCGGUGCCGGAAGGUUAAUUGAUGGGGUUAGCCGCAAGGCGAAGCUCUUGAUCGAAGCCCCGGUAAACGGCGGCCGUAACUAUAACGGUCCUAAGGUAGCGAAAUUCCUUGUCGGGUAAGUUCCGACCUGCACGAAUGGCGUAAUGAUGGCCAGGCUGUCUCCACCCGAGACUCAGUGAAAUUGAACUCGCUGUGAAGAUGCAGUGUACCCGCGGCAAGACGGAAAGACCCCGUGAACCUUUACUAUAGCUUGACACUGAACAUUGAGCCUUGAUGUGUAGGAUAGGUGGGAGGCUUUGAAGUGUGGACGCCAGUCUGCAUGGAGCCGACCUUGAAAUACCACCCUUUAAUGUUUGAUGUUCUAACGUUGACCCGUAAUCCGGGUUGCGGACAGUGUCUGGUGGGUAGUUUGACUGGGGCGGUCUCCUCCUAAAGAGUAACGGAGGAGCACGAAGGUUGGCUAAUCCUGGUCGGACAUCAGGAGGUUAGUGCAAUGGCAUAAGCCAGCUUGACUGCGAGCGUGACGGCGCGAGCAGGUGCGAAAGCAGGUCAUAGUGAUCCGGUGGUUCUGAAUGGAAGGGCCAUCGCUCAACGGAUAAAAGGUACUCCGGGGAUAACAGGCUGAUACCGCCCAAGAGUUCAUAUCGACGGCGGUGUUUGGCACCUCGAUGUCGGCUCAUCACAUCCUGGGGCUGAAGUAGGUCCCAAGGGUAUGGCUGUUCGCCAUUUAAAGUGGUACGCGAGCUGGGUUUAGAACGUCGUGAGACAGUUCGGUCCCUAUCUGCCGUGGGCGCUGGAGAACUGAGGGGGGCUGCUCCUAGUACGAGAGGACCGGAGUGGACGCAUCACUGGUGUUCGGGUUGUCAUGCCAAUGGCACUGCCCGGUAGCUAAAUGCGGAAGAGAUAAGUGCUGAAAGCAUCUAAGCACGAAACUUGCCCCGAGAUGAGUUCUCCCUGACCCUUUAAGGGUCCUGAAGGAACGUUGAAGACGACGACGUUGAUAGGCCGGGUGUGUAAGCGCAGCGAUGCGUUGAGCUAACCGGUACUAAUGAACCGUGAGGCUUAACCUU